CUGGCUCCGACACACGACUGAGUGUGCCUACACUGGUCCCACAGGUUUUCAGCUGUGGAGUUUGGGAUCUGAGCUUGGAGCCCAUUUGUUUCUGGCAGUUCGGCUCAUAUUUUCCACUUGAAGACAUCGCCUCCCUUCCUUCCAAGCUGGGAGACCAGAAGUCAACAACAGGAGGGUGGAGAGGCUGGAUCUCACAAUCCCCUUGGCUGGGGAGUCCACUGAGGUUCUUGCAUCCUGAAGCAAACCAUGGAGAGCUGGUGGGGACUUCCCUGUCUUGCGUUCCUGUGUUUUCUAAUGCACGCCCGAGAACCCACCAAGAAGCCAAACUCAGAUAUCUACCCAAAG
rnacentral:lncRNA from 1 species